UUGCUCAUGCUGGUCUCAAAUCCUAAGCUCAAGCAAUCCACCCACCUCAGCCUCCCAGAGUGGCAGGGUUACAGGCAUGAACCACUGCGCCGAGCCUAAAACAAUACUUAGACGAUACUUCUUAGUAGGUAGAAUAAUGACCUACUCCCCAAAUCUCCAUGUCCUUAACCUACAACCUGUGAGUAUGUUAUGUUACAUGGCAAUGUGAAAUUACAGUUACAAACUUAAGAUCAGCUAGUUAGCUGACUUUAAUAUAAAACAGAUUAUUGUGUAUUAUCUGGGUAGGCCCAAUAUAAUCACAAGGAUCUUUAAAGAUAGAAAAGGAAUAAAAAUAGAGAAUCAGAGAGAUGGCCAUAUGAGAAGGACUCAGCUGAUGUUGUUUCUGCUUUGAAGGUGGAGAAAAGGGUCAUGAGCGAAAGAAGGGAGUGGUCUCUAGAAGCUGAAAAAGGCAAGGAAACAUUCUUCCCUAGGGCCUGCAGAAAGGAAAGAAUGUUGUUGUCACCUUGAUCUUAACCUGGCACUGUGCCGGACACUUGUUCCACCUUAGCUGAAUAAUCCUCUCAAAACCCAGUGAUAUGGCACUUACGUUUGCUCCAGGGAAUGUUUGCCCAUAGAUGACACUCACCAGAAGAGAAGAGUCCCAAUGA